GUGCACUGGGCCUUCGGACAGCCGCCAGGCUCAUUCCAGCGCAAAAGGACUCCGGUACUGGGCUUGCGAGCGCGUCCUCCACUCCCGAUUCGGUUGCGUGAAAAAAAGUCUCGAUUCCAGGCGCAGCGGGAGCGACCGCACCGAAUCCAUCCACCCCGGGUUGUAGGAGCAGAGAGAAGGCAAUUCAUCUCGAGUAGAGACGCGGUCGAAUCCAUCGAGUCCGGAUUUCAGGCGCUCAAAGGAUCCAAUUCAUCCGGUCCAGAUUUGAACUGCACAGACGAGCCGCCGCUUCGGUCGAUUCGGUCCACCUGAGGUGCGUGAUGGACCGGGGCAAGUACAUCUGUGCGCUGGGAUCGACCGGAGGAGUAGGAUCCGGGUACAGAUGAUGCAGUCCAGAGCUGAAGCGAAGAGGCGGACGAUGCGGUCCGAGUCCUGCCGAUGCAGUUGAGAGCUCAAGUGACGAGGCGCACGAUGCGGCUAAAGAAAGUUGGGGACGAGGGCGAUAAUGGCAGAUGCCUCGUCUGCAUGAAACGUCUUUGCUCUCUCUUGAAUCUCGCAAUCAUGGCCUAUUCAUGCCUGGUAAUGUUACAAUCUUUUCCUAUGGUCAGUGCUACUAUAUAAUGCUUCACCCCUGCGAGUCUUUCCACACCCUCUACACUCGGCAUCAACAUCUUAUUCAGCAUCAUGCUCAGGUAACCUCCCGAAGAAAAUGUGUUUGAUCGCUGCCAGAUGGAAGGUCGACGGGGUUGACUGGCUCGAUCCAGCCGAGCGCGAUGCAGGCGACGCGCGGAUCCUUGGAUACAACCGACGCACGCGAUCUGUCUACGAGGGGAUCCAUCUGAUGCGUGUGACCCUUUGGGAUUUGAAGAAGGCAAUUAAUCUUCAGUUUCUAGAGUCGUUCAUGGUGGAUGAUGUAUGCCGGUCGUUGACGGCGAUUAAUGAAGGUGGUGGCUGUUGUUUCACGAUGGUGAGGAGAUAUUGCACAAAACUUAGGUGACCAAAAUCCACCCCUCAGUAAGAUUGGGACAUCUAAAAUACCCACCAAUUAGCGAACACAAUGGAAUACAUGUGGCAGUUGUUGACCAGACUUGAGUCUAACAAAUGAGCAGUACCUAUGACCGCAUCCGCGUAGGAUGAACAUGAUGUAUACCCCAAAAAUUAUUGACCUGUUAAGUAUAUUUUCGUGGCGUGGAUGCUAAAGUCCGAGCAGGUACAUCAGAAGCUACUGCAACUACUUGACUGCAAGAUGCUGUUCGGUUGUGCAUGACGCAUUCUGCUAGAGCUAUGAGAUGAGUUUGACUCCUAAGCUUUGUUUGAUAAAUAGUGUUAAGUCCCCUCUUGGGUUGCACACAUUAUUACUUUGCCUUCCGGGGAAAACUGAUUGUAUGAAUGGAUCGGUUAAUUUUACUAAGGUUAAUUAGUGCCAGUAAGUUGAAUUGUUUCUAUAUAGAAAAUGAAAUGUUAGUGCCAUUGUUCUAUUGCAGUAA